GAAAAACGUCUCCCAUUUUCGCCACAAUUUUCUAAUUGCCACAAUUUGUUGAGUCCUUUAAAAAUAAUUACGUUGUACUAGUUCACAAAAUAAUCACAUAAAUAUACUUUUAAAAUCUCCAUCAUCAAAAUAACGUGUUAAUUGUCAUCACAAAUUUAAACCAGCACUCUUUUUGUCAUUUCUUGAUAACAUCAACCUCAAAAACUAUUUUGAUCUGCUGGAUAUUUUAUUGUUUUGAUUCAAGCGGUCGGUCAGAUAUUUUAUUUACAUAUAUUUUGUUUGAAAAUAGAAUAAAAUAACUAAAAAGAAAGUAACAACUAAAUAAGCGACGGAAUAGAUCAAUAAAUAAUAUAUAAAUUAAAAAGAUGGAACAAGCGUCAAGCAAAGGAUACAAUACAACAAGCAACGUAAAAGGGAGGAAGAAGAAGAUGACUUAUCGCGAGGAAGACGAUGCAGUUCCUGAACUGCAUCUGAGAGUUGAAGAAGAUGGAGUUGAGAAAUUAGGUCACUAUAUUAAACUUAUUGAAGAAUCAGAGAGAGAAGAAGAGCAGGGAGAGGAACAAGAUUCAUCACCUUCUUCAUCUUCUUCUUCUUCUUCUUGUGGAGGGAAAAGAUCUCUUUGGUUCUGGAUCAAGCUUGCUCUUCUCCUCGCCUUUCUAUCUGGUUUGGCUCUCGCUGCUUACAAAUGGCUCGUUCCUUUAAUCAUGGACAAGGAGCUUAUCCCUAUCAUAAAAUGGGAGAUGAGGACAUUCACACACCCUGUGAUAGGUCUUCUUGUAUUCACAACCGUGGCACUACUCCCUGUAAUACUUUUUCUGUCACUGCCGUCAAUGUGGGUGGCUGGGAUUACAUUUGGUUUUGGAUAUGGCCUUCUCCUCACUUACCCAGCUAUAGCUAUCGGUGUAUCUCUUCCGUACUUCAUCAGCUAUCUCUUCUGCGACAAAAUCCAAGGUUGGUUAGAAAGAUAUCCGGACCAAGCUGCCAUGCUGAGAGCUGCUGGUGGAGGCACUUGGUUUCACCAGUUUCGAGCAGUUACGUUAAUCCGGAUUUCACCAUUCCCUUACGUUAUUUAUAACUAUUGCGCUGUUGCGACUGGCGUGCAGUACGGUCCUUACAUGGCUGGUUCUCUCUUGGGAAUGGUGCCAGAUAACUUUGUAGCUAUUUAUACAGGGACACUCAUAAGGAAAUUGGCAGAUGCAUCCACCGAGGAAGAGAAGGGGAUGUCGGUUCUUCAGAUUGUUCUCAACAUUCUUGGGUUUGUAGCUACUGUGUUGACAACGGUUCUGAUCAUGAAGUAUGCGAAAAGACAGCUUGAAGCUAUGAGGAAGGAAGAGGAAGCUUUAUUGUUGCAGUAGUGACGACAACAACCUUGGAAGCUUUUGUGUCUGCCUCUUCUUCCCAACGUACAGAAAGCUUAUCGAGAAGUUGCUUGGCUUCAUAGGUGAGGGAUUUGGAUAAAUUACGAGCUAGGUGCAACAUCUAAUAGCCAUUCACCUAAUGAUUCUACUGAAACUCUUAAUAAUCAUACAAACUUCGUGGUACUUAACCCACUCCGGUAAGUUCACUAAGCAAUUGACAUAUGUUUAUCGUAUAUCUUUAAAUAAGAUAUCUCUAGAAAUUGGUAAACAAAAAUUGUGAAUCUUAACAUUUUGUUAGUAUCGUUGUUAUAUGACCAUUGCAUUGUAGGUCGUUGACAUCAACUAAAAUUCUUAUACCAUGUGAUUGUUUAUAUGUUUGCAAAAAUAUAAUAUGUUUUCUCUCGAAAAUAGAAUAGAGGAGAAGCGCACUUUAUUCAUUUUCUCUCGAAACUAAAUGUCAAACAAGUCUGAGA